GACGAACGCUGGCGGCGUGCUUAACACAUGCAAGUCGAACGGACAGGCUCCAGCUUUCUUCAUUACUCGAUUGCCGCACGCGUGUGUAACACAUGUGUGAUCUCCCCUUCACUUCGUGAUAUGCCUUCGAAACUGGGUCUCAUAUCCGAUAGAACCUCUUUUUGGUGUUUGUUGUGUAAAGGUUUUCCUUGUUUCGGUUGAGUUUGCAUCCUACCAGUUUGUUGGUGGGGUAAUGGCCUACCAAGACGGCCACGGGUAGCCGGCCUGAGAGGGUGGACGGUGACAUUGGGACUGAGGGAAGGCCCAGAUAGCUAAGGGAGGGAACAGUGGGGAAGAUUGAACAAUGGGGGAAGCGCUGAUGAAGAGAGGCUGCGUGGGGGAUGAAGGCCUUCGGGGUGUAAAAUACUUUCGCUAGGGACGAAGCUUUUUGUGACGGUACCUGGAGAAGAAGCACCGGCUAACUACGUG
rnacentral:rRNA from 1 species